UACGUAGGGUGCAAGCGUUAAUCGGAAUUACUGGGCGUAAAGCGUGCGCAGGCGGUGAUGUAAGACAGAUGUGAAAUCCCCGGGCUCAACCUGGGAACUGCAUUUGUGACUGCAUCGCUGGAGUGCGGCAGAGGGGGAUGGAAUUCCGCGUGUAGCAGUGAAAUGCGUAGAUAUCUGGAGGAAUACCGGUGGCGAAGGCGGCAUCCUGGACCCGGCAUUGACGC
rnacentral:rRNA from 1 species